rnacentral:rRNA from 1 species
GACGAACGCUGGCGGCGUGCUUAACACAUGCAAGUCGAACGGUGAAGCGCCUUCCUUUUUGGUGGGUGUGGAUGAGUGGCGAACGGGUGAGUAACACGUGAGUAACCUGCCCCCUUCUUCUGGAUAACCGCAUGAAAGUGUGGCUAAUACGGGAUAUUCUGGGUCUGUCGCAUGAUGGGUCUGGGAAAGAUAUUGUUUCGGUGGGGGAUGGGCUCGCGGCCUAUCAGCUUGUUGGUGGGGUGAUGGCCUACCAAGGCGGUGACGGGUAGCCGGCCUGAGAGGGUGGACGGUCCCACUGGGACUGAGACACGGCCCAGACUCCUACGGGAGGCAGCAGGGGGGAAUAUUGCACAAUGGGCGCAAGCCUGAUGCAGCGACGCCGCGUGAGGGAUGGAGGCCUUCGGGUUGUGAACCUCUUUCGCCAGUGAAGCAGGCCUGCCUCGUUUGUGGGUGGGUUGACGGUAGCUGGAUAAGAAGCGCCGGCUAACUACGUG